ensembl:lncRNA
CACAAAGCCCCAUCCGCCCACUGACUGGAGCUGAGGCGUCCACGGGGUUGCUGACCUCGCCUGUCCUGCCGCCUGCCUGAGACCCUGGGAGAGACCUUCCGGCGCAGCCUGAGACUCCCAGGCCCAGACAGAGGUGGCCGUGGAGGGGCCCGGGGCUCCAACACCGGUCAGGCGCAUGAUUAUAAACGGUGAACAUCUGGAAAUAUAAACACUACAUGGUGAAUGGUGGUUACUUCCAGAGAUGGGACAGAGCUGGAGAGAGAUGAAGUUGGAAAGAAGUGAGGAAUGGGAGAUCUUAUAAACGAUGCAGAAAUACACAAAGUAAAAGACUACGUGUUUUACUUAUUUCUACUUCUAUUGUUCCAAAAGAGGAUCUUCCUUAUCUUUGUGAUUUCUAAAAACUGUAAUACAAUAUUACUUAUCCUAAAAAAAGCAAAUACAUACAUAUAUAAAGGAAUACCCUCAUGUCUACAUUCUAGUCUCCUGAAAGACAGGAAGUGGAGGAGUCUUAUGUCACAAACACAGAGCGGUGAGCAAGUUACCGCAGCACCCAGCCCCCCCGGGGGCGUCGCACUUUCCAGCUGUAAGAUCUCUCUGCUUCCCAGGUUGUCUCUGAAUAGACGCUGGUCAACUUCAGGUUGGAAAACGCAUGUUACACGUGAAACAAGUCCAGUUCUUAGAAAAGGCUUCUCAGGACCUCACUACUCACGUGGCUCCAGAGACCAACAGCACCUCCCUGGGGAGCUAGUAGAAAUGCAGAUCCUUGGGCCCACCCCUGACCUGCUGGGUUGGAAGCUGGACUUAACAAGAUUCCCAGGUGUGCACAGGAAAGCCUGAGGGGCCCUGCUCUAGGGUGAACCUUGCUAACACGCAGCCUCUGAUGAUUUGAAGAGGAGUGGGAACAGCUGGCUUCCUGCCAGGCUGCUUGUUCAAGGAUAUUAUUCUCAAGCACCAGCGGGUCAGACUUUCAGGGAAAAGAAAUUAAUGGCAGGAAGAGUUUGGAAAUUCCGGCUUCUGCUAAUUUCAUAAAAGCAAAUCAUAGGACAGAAAGGCUCACGAUUGCUGGGAGCUCACUUUUUUCUUCAUCGUUAUUACUCAGUCUUCAAGGGUUACUGAUAUCUUUCUUCUUUUCUCUUUAAUUUUCCUGACCAGUGACAUGUCUCUCCGCUGGUUAUUGGACUCCAACUCACUCCCUUCCCAUCUUGGUUGCUCUCCAGUCAUCUUCCACCUCCGCCCCUGAUCACGGGCGUGCACAGCAGCCCAGGCUGCCUAGGGCCCACCCCCUUCGGUUUUCACCUUUUCCGUUAAUCUGCUGCUGCAUCUGCAUCGUCUCCUGUCACCCUCGCCCUACAGCUUGGCUGUGGAUAUGGAUGUCUUUUGCUUGACUCUUCGGAUCCCCUCUCCUCCCUUUGUCAUCCAGCUCUGGGAUGUAGGAGGCUGACACAGUGGGGACUUCGUCAAUGGCUCCCUUCCCUCCUGGCAGGGAGGCAAGUGUGGUCAGGAUAUUGAUGGCCUGGGCUCACCCUCUGCUGGGUCCCUCUCCAUGCCACUCCUCUGUCCCAGGUCUGGUUACAGCUCUCUGCUCUGGUCCUGUAGGCUGACUGCCACUGCUACCAGUCUGGGUCUUGCCAUCUCCGUGGCCUCCCCACCCACUGCCCACACCUCUGUACACCAUCCCUUGAUUAAACUCUCCUGAAAUUAUCCAGCUUGAGGGUGCCAUCUGUCUCCUCUUGGGCCCUGACCACUGACACACAGCUCUGCUACCCUGCACACCUCACAUUCUUGAAGGUCCUCAUGGCCUUGGCCUUCUAAGAAAUAAACGCAGUGGUGGUUUCUUUCACCUUCAUCCCCUUUCUGCUGCAUCUGAAGGACAGUUCUCCUUGGAUUACUGGCCCCCAAAACAACACAUUCAGAAUGUCUGAAAUAACUCACUUUGCUCCCCAAAUUUGCUCCCCCUAUCUGCUCUAGGGGCAUCACCACUUGCCCCACCCAGGCUUCCACCCUGCCAUCACCUCACCCCAUCCCUCUUUGUCAGAGAGUCUCAGAAUCAUCAAGUUGGGGGAGCCUGGGACCUCCUGGUCCACCCCAACGGGCACUGAAGCUUGGUGAGCAAUCUGCCCAAGCUUACCUGGCUGCUUUAGGAUGUGUCCUCAGAGGAAAAGGUCAGGCUCUUUCCAUCCCCUAUCCCCCUUUCCUGACAUGGGUGCUUCAGAGUGACAUGCACACCUGCCCUGUCCACACCCUCUGACCACAGCCAUCUCAAACACUUGGUUCUCCCCAAACAUCCUC